GUGCAGCAGGCGCGAAAACUUUACAAUGCUGGCAACAGCGAUAAGGGAACCUCGAGUGCCAGGUUACAAAUCUGGCUGUCGAGAUGCCUAAAAAGCAUUUCAUAGCAAGGGCCGGGCAAGACCGGUGCCAGCCGCCGCGGUAACACCGGCGGCUCGAGUGGUAACCGUUAUUAUUGGGUCUAAAGGGUCUGUAGCCGGCCGGAUAAGUCUCUUGAGAAAUCUGGCAGCUUAACUGUCAGGCUUUCAGGAGAUACUGUCUGGCUCGAGGCCGGGAGAGGUGAGAGGUACUUCAGGGGUAGGGGUGAAAUCUUGUAAUCCUUGAAGGACCACCAGUGGCGAAGGCGUCUCACCAGAACGGACCUGACGGCAAGGGACGAAAGCUAGGGGCACGAACCGGAUUAGAUACCCGGGUAGUCCUAGCCGUAAACGAUACUCGCUAGGUGUCGGCCACGGUGCGACCGUUGUCGGUGCCGUAGGGAAGCCG
rnacentral:rRNA from 1 species